rnacentral:tRNA from 1 species
AGGGAAAUAGCUCAAUGGUAGAGCACAGGCAUAGCAUGCACGAGGUACUGGGUUCAAUCCCCAGUGCCUCCA